AGAGGUUUGAGUCCUGGCUCAGGAUGAACGCUGGCGGCGUGCCUAACACAUGCAAGUCGAACGGGUGUACGGGAUGGAAGGCUCCGGCCGGAAGCCCCGUGCAUGAGUGGCGGACGGGUGAGUAACGCGUGGGCAACCUGCCCUGUACAGGGGGACAACACUUAGAAAUAGGUGCUAAUACCGCAUAACGGGGGGAGCCGCAUGGCACCCCCCUGAAAACUCCGGUGGUACAGGAUGGGCCCGCGUCUGAUUAGCUAGUUGGCAGGGUAACGGCCUACCAAGGCGACGAUCAGUAGCCGGCCUGAGAGGGCGGACGGCCACACUGGGACUGAGACACGGCCCAGACUCCUACGGGAGGCAGCAGUGGGGGAUAUUGCACAAUGGGGGGAACCCUGAUGCAGCGACGCCGCGCGGGUGAAGGAGCGUUUCGGCGCGUAAAGCCCUAUCGGCAGGGAAGAAGGAGGACGGUACCUGACUAAGAAGCCCCGGCUAACUACGUG
rnacentral:rRNA from 1 species